rnacentral:rRNA from 1 species
AACGAACGCUGGCGGCAGGCUUAACACAUGCAAGUCGAGCGCCCCGCAAGGGGAGCGGCAGACGGGUGAGUAACGCGUGGGAACGUACCUUUUGGUUCGGAACAACUCCGGGAAACUGGAGCUAAUACCGGAUAAGCCCUAACGGGGAAAGAUUUAUCGCCGAAAGAUCGGCCCGCGUCUGAUUAGCUAGUUGGUGAGGUAACGGCUCACCAAGGCGACGAUCAGUAGCUGGUCUGAGAGGAUGAUCAGCCACACUGGGACUGAGACACGGCCCAGACUCCUACGGGAGGCAGCAGUGGGGAAUAUUGGACAAUGGGCGCAAGCCUGAUCCAGCCAUGCCGCGUGAGUGAUGAAGGCCUUAGGGUUGUAAAGCUCUUUUGUCCGGGAAGACAAUGACUGUACCGGAAGAAUAAGCCCCGGCUAACUUCGUG